UAGUCAUACGCUCGUCUCAAAGAUUAAGCCAUGCAUGUGUAAGUAUAAAUAAUUUUACUUUGAAACUGCGAAUGGCUCAUUAUAUCAGUUAUAGUUUAUUAGAAAUAUUUUACUACUUGGAUAACCGUAGUAAUUCUAGGGCUAAUACAUGAGUAAAACCUCAACUUCGGAAGAGGUGUGUUUAUUAGUAUGAAAACCAUAUAUCUUCGGAUAUAAUAGUGAGUAAUAAUAACCUUUCAUAUCGUAUGUCGUAAGAUAACGAUAGUUCUUUCAAGUUUCUGCCCUAUCAGCUUUCGAUGGUAGUAUAUGGGACUACCAUGGCAGUAACGGGUAACGAAGAAUUUGGGUUCGAUUUCGGAGAGGGAGCCUGAGAGAUGGCUACCACAUCCAAGGAAGGCAGCAGGCGCGUAAAUUACCCAAUCCUGACAUAGGGAGGUAGUGACAAUAAAUCACAAUGCGGAACUUUUAGUUUUGCAAUUGGAUUGAGAACAAUGUACAAAUGUUAUCGAUAAACAAUUGGAGGGCAAGUCUGGUGCCAGCAGCCGCGGUAAUUCCAGCUCCAAUAGCGUAUAUUAACGUUGUU
rnacentral:rRNA from 1 species